rnacentral:rRNA from 1 species
UCAGUAGCCGGCUUGAGAGAGUGAACGGCCACAUUGGGACUGAGACACGGCCCAAACUCCUACGGGAGGCAGCAGUGGGGAAUAUUGCACAAUGGGGGAAACCCUGAUGCAGCAACGCCGCGUGAGUGAAGAAGUAUUUCGGUAUGUAAAGCUCUAUCAGCAGGGAAGAAAAUGACGGUACCUGACUAAGAAGCCCCGGCUAACUACGUGCCAGCAGCCGCGGUAAUACGUAGGGGGCAAGCGUUAUCCGGAUUUACUGGGUGUAAAGGGAGCGCAGGCGGUACGGCAAGUCAGAUGUGAAAACCCGGGGCUCAACCCCGGGACUGCAUUUGAAACUGUCGGACUAGAGUGCCGGAGAGGUAAGUGGAAUUCCUAGUGUAGCGGUGAAAUGCGUAGAUAUUAGGAGGAACACCAGUGGCGAAGGCGGCUUA